rnacentral:pre_miRNA from 1 species
AAUAAAUGAAUUUUUGAGUUUUUAUAGAAUUUUCAACUCUUUGUCUUAUUUGAAAAUUUGUUAUGAUUAAUAUUUUUAUUGUUACAACGUAAUAAAACAUGCAUAGUACUUUACAUAUGAUUAAUUUUUUUUAUUUUUAAUAAAAUUUUUAAAUAAGACGGAUGGUCAAACGCUAAAUCUAAAAAACUCAUA